rnacentral:misc_RNA from 1 species
AAGUCGUAACAAGGUUUCCGUAGGUGAACCUGCGGAAGGAUCAUUCAUAAUAAAAGUGUUUUAUGGCACUUUUCAAACAAAUCCAUAUCCACCUUGUGUGCAAUGUUUUUUUUUUUUAAAUAAACACUUUAUUUUUUAAUUGCCAAUUUAUCUGAAGAUCAGUAUUAUUAUGAAUUAACUUAAUUCAAAAUAUAACUUUCAACAACGGAUCUCUUGGCUCUC